CGGGGGGGCAAGCGUUGUUCGGAAUUACUGGGCGUAAAGGGCUCGUAGGUGGCCAACUAAGUCAUACGUGAAAUCCCUCAGCUUAACUGGGGAACUGCGUCUGAUACUGGAUGGCUUGAGUUUGGGAGAGGGAUGCGGAAUUCCAGGUGUAGCGGUGAAAUGCGUAGAUAUCUGGAGGAACACCGGUGGCGAAGGCGGCAUCCUGGACCAAUACUGACACUGAGGAGCGAAAGCCAGGGGAGCAAACGGGAUUAGAUACCCCGGUAGUCCUGGCCCUAAACGAUGAAUGCUUGGUGUGGCGGGUAUCGAUCCCUGCCGUGCCGAAGCUAACGCAUUAAGCAUUCCGCCUGGGGAGUACGGUCGCAAGGCUG
rnacentral:rRNA from 1 species